GCCUGAUGGAGCAACGCCGCGUGCAGGAUGAAACCCUUCGGGGCGUAAACUGCUUUUAUAUGUGACGAAUAUGACGGUAGCAUAUGAAUAAGGAUCGGCUAACUCCGUGCCAGCAGCCGCGGUAAU
rnacentral:rRNA from 1 species